rnacentral:rRNA from 1 species
GAGCGAAAGCCUAAAACUCAAAAGACUUGACGGUGUCCUAAUCUACCUAGAGGAGCCUGUUCCAUAAUCGAUAACCCGCGAUAAACCCAACCACCCUUUGAAAUUUUCAGCCUAUAUACCGCCGUCGACAGCCCACCUUAUAAAAGAACAAGAGUAGGCCAAAUAGGACUCACCCUAAAAAGUCAGGUCAAGGUGUAGCUAAUAGGGUGGAGACAAUGGGCUACAUUUUCUAUAAUAGAACACACGAACUAGUUUAUUAAACAAAACUACGAAGGCGGAUUUAGCAGUAAGCU